UAUGCUUUCAAAGUAAUACUGUCAAAACUGUCAAAGUCACUAUGUAAAAGUUAGAGCUUCAAAAUUAGCUUUCGCUAUAUUUUUAAAUAUUAUUGGUAUCUAGAGACAUCGUAUUUGUCUUUUGAUAUUGAAAGUAUUUAAAGAAACUGCGAUAGAAAAUGUUGAAGGGAGUGGUUAUUUUUGGCUCCGGUGUCUACACCGGGGUAUAUAUUGCACAAAAUUAUCAGGGUGCAGUUUCAUUUAUUUGUAAGAAAGCCAUAAAAGAUUGUGGAAAGGCUCUUGGCAAAAAAGAUGAUUGACAAAGUCGAAAAUCCUAGGGUAUUGUUUGACAAAGCUCAAAGCUUCAUCAAGUCGAAACUAGGAGACUUAUCUGACGC